rnacentral:rRNA from 1 species
UACAGAGGUCUCAAGCGUUGUUCGGAAUUAUUGGGCGUAAAGGGUGCGUAGGCGGCAGGGUAAGUUAGAUGUGAAAUACCGGUGCUUAACAUCGGAAUUGCAUUUAAGACUGCCUUGCUUGAGCAUUAGAGAGGAGACUGGAAUUUACGGUGUAGCAGUGAAAUGCGUAGAUAUCGUAAGGAAGACCAGUGGCGAAAGCGAGUCUCUGGCUAAAUGCUGACGCUGAGGCACGAAAGCUGGGGGAGCAAACAGG